AUUGAACGCUGGCGGCAUGCCUUACACAUGCAAGUCGAACGGCAGCACGGGAGCAAUCCUGGUGGCGAGUGGCGAACGGGUGAGUAAUAUAUCGGAACGUGCCCAGUCGUGGGGGAUAACGCAGCGAAAGCUGUGCUAAUACCGCAUACGAUCUACGGAUGAAAGCGGGGGAUCGCAAGACCUCGCGCGAUUGGAGCGGCCGAUAUCAGAUUAGCUAGUUGGUGGGGUAAGGCCCACCAAGGCGACGAUCUGUAGCUGGUCUGAGAGGACGACCAGCCACACUGGAACUGAGACACGGUCCAGACUCCUACGGGAGGCAGCAGUGGGGAAUUUUGGACAAUGGGCGCAAGCCUGAUCCAGCAAUGCCGCGUGCAGGAUGAAGGCCUUCGGGUUGUAAACUGCUUUUGUACGGAACGAAACAGCCCUUUCUAAUACAGGGGGCUAAUGACGGUACCGUAAGAAUAAGCACCGGCUAACUACGUGCCAGCCGCCGCAGUAA
rnacentral:rRNA from 1 species